rnacentral:lncRNA from 1 species
CCUGCCUCUCCUGUGUCACACCUGCAAUUGUAUCUCUGGCCUCCUAAGGCUUCCCCCAUUCUGUGACUGUCAGGGCCCAGUUUUGCUAAGCAGUUCAUUCUUAUCCUCAACACCAACUCCUUGUCCUUUAAGCAGUCUCAUAGACUUGUUCCUGGGAGCAUUACACAUGCAAGAAAUGUUUGUAAUGGAGCUGUCUCCUUCAACGGCAUCAAUAUGUAUUUCAUUAUUUCUUUCUUUCAGGUUGGUGGUGUGGAAUAGAGGACGAGGAGGCAACUUCUGAGCAGAGUGUUUCUGUAAGAGGAAGUGUCACAGAUUAUGACUCCCAAGUCAGUUCUAUCUCUCCAAGAGACCAACCUCUGUGAGAUGUGUGGCCUUAUCUUAAAAGACAUCCUUCACUUGGCUGAGCAUAAGGAAGCACACCACAAGCAGAAAAUGUGCAUGUGUUGAGCAUGUGAGAAACAACUCUAUUUCAGUACAAAUUUUCAGCACAAGAAUCAGCAUAUUGAAGAGAAGCCAUUCAGAAGUGAUAUGGGCAGAACCUCAUUUGUGAAGAACUGUAAAUUCCAUGAACCAGGAAGGCCUUUAUACACAGGGAGGUUGGAAGUGAUUUCCUGACCAGCUUGGAAUUUCUCCAUCAACAGUCUUCUUCCUGUGGAAAAGUCAAAUAGCAAAACCAAGUAUGGUGCUGCCUCUCGCAGGAGAAAGCUCAUUGUAACUGGGAAGAAUGUGAUGAAGUGUUCAUCCCCAAACACACACUUACUUGUUCAGCAUUAGAGAGUCCUCACUAGAGAAAGAUGUUACAUGUGCAGAGAGUGUGGGGAAUCCUUUACCCACAGCUCCAGUCUCAUUAAAUACCAGAGUACACACUGGAGAAAGACCUUAGAAGUGCUCAGAGUGUGGCAAGUCCUUUAGCCAAAGCUCUAACCUCUUUCAACAUUGGAGAGUUCACACUGGAGAAAGGCCUUAUAAGUGCUGUGAAUGCAGUAAAUCCUUUAGCCAGAGCUGCAGCCUCAAUAACCAUUGGAAAGUUCACCCUGGAUAGAGGCCUUUUGAGUGUGGGGAAUGUGGGAAAUCUUUAUCCAAAGAUCCAACCCAAUCUAACAUCACAGAAUUCACACUGGACAAAGGCUUUUUAAGUGUAGUGAAUGUGGGAAAUUCCUUAGCCAGAGCUCUGCACUCCUGCAGCAGCAUAGUAUUCACACUGGAGAAAGGCCUUAUUAUAAGCAGUUCAUUCUUAUCCUCAAAAUUCUUUACCUACAAUUCCAGUGUUCUAAACUACCAGAACAUUCACACUGGAUGAAGGCCUUAUCAGUGCAGUGAAUGUAGGAAAUCCUUUGGUCAGUACUGCAGCCUUAUUCUACACCUGAGAGUUCACACUGGAGAAAGGUCUUAUGGGUGCAAUGAAUAUGGGAAAUCCUUUAGCCAAAGGUCUGCACUCCUUAAACACCACACAGUUCAUACUGAAGAAAGGCCCUAUGAGUGCAGCAAAUGUGUACUUCAACUUCAGAGACCAUAGGAGAGUUCACACUGGAGAAAGGCCCUAGAGGGUCUUAAGUGUGGAAAAAUCUUAUCCAAAGCUCUGGCCUCAUUCAACACCAGAUUUCACUCUGGAGUAGGGCCUUAUAAAUGUUUUGAAUAUGAGCAAGCUAUCAGCCAAAUGCCUUUCCUCAGGUACCACAAAGUUCACAUGGGGAAGACACCUUAAUGUCCUGGAAGUUGGGUGCUUUCUUGUUUAAUGCAAUGGCACUGGAGGAAAUCCCUUAGGAUGCCAUUUGCCUGAACUGAACCUGAUUCAUUCACACGUCCACAUUAAUUCCAGGUGUGGGGGAAGCUUGAAGCUUUGUGCUGCACUUCUAAACCUGUCCAGGGUCUUUGCCCAAGUGUUAGUCACCUUCAGUACUAUAACUGAAGCCGUGUGGCCUCUAUCACCUGCCAGGCGCCCACAGUGUGUGUUGGUACUCCUAUUGCAUAGAGAAGUGGUUAGUCUUUGCUUUCCCAACCCAGAGCAGGAUUUGUGAGAUGACAGCAUUCACUCCCAACGUGUUAAGGUCUGGGUCUGACUCAGNGGUUAUAUCACUCUAGUAUCCUGAUUUUAGUUCUUUUGGUUA